GGUAAGAUGGCCGAGUUGGUCUAAGGCGCCAGGUUAGUUUUCUAUCUUGCACAUUCUUCAUCUGAAUUCCACUAACAAUAUCAUAGACUCAAGAGAACUACCUCUUUCACUGUUUCAGUGAAGUAUUCUGGUCUCGAAAGAGGCGCGGGUUCGAAUCCCGUUCUUACCA
rfam:Penicillium polonicum strain IBT 4502 PENPOL_contig001, whole genome shotgun sequence.